AUGACAUCAGAAACCCCACAUUUCCCGGAAGUAUCAAAAUUUUGGGUCACCCUGUAUAUUUGUCGCUGCUCUGUCGUUUCCACAUUUCGUAGUUAAGAAUUGCUAUUUGAGGCAUGUAAAUUGUCAGAUUUAAUUGAUACACGUUUUAAGUAAAAUAAUCUGGAAAGUGCCUCGAAUCCCUGUAUUACCGUUGGGACGAUGGUCUUGUUUAUCUUUUACAAGUUUAGUUUAUGGUCUUAGGCCUCCCAAAUAAAUCGUUCAACAUACGUACAACGUGAAUUCUGAAAUGUAUUUACCAACGAAUUCGCGAUGUUAUUGUAGAUUUACAGUCGGAAAACAACGUAUUCCAGGCUGUAUCGAACAAAACCACAGUGGUAUUGUUUGUUACGUUUUAACGUCCCUUCCCCGAUGAUCGUGGUACACGCGUUUCCUCAAAUAGUGUUUCCCAAUUCCGGGGAUAAAAGCUUUCGUUGCCAAGUGGCAUGCGAGACGACAAAUUCAUCUUCCACGGUGCUCUCGGACAAUGUAUCCCUCGCCCGGCAAUCCUCAAAUAUUUCUCCGGUAUCGUUUAAUUGCAAAGUUAUCCGAAAAGGCUUUGGGCUUCCACCGAGAGCACAGAUUACUUGCUGUGCAACCUAAGGUCCGAAACAGCGGUGAAACGCACUUGUUUAUUUUUUCAUGGGAUUAUCUUGUUUAUCCUUUUCCGUCAGCAGACAUUUUUCAAGACCAUCGAGGAAGUGCGCAGACGUGCGGGAACGAAACCGCAAGUCCGCGGAACCGCAAGAUAUGCGAGAUCCUACCGCCGGUUCCUACGUCAGCUUCAAAUCAAAUUUCUUUCUCCCAGUAUUUUAUACUUUGCUUACCGACGAAUGAAACGAGCAUGAUUAUUUUCGGAAGUUUUGGUUAUAGCCACAAGCACAACCGAUGAUCAUUGGAUCGAACUUAAUCCACGCAACCAAGGCUUUUUUCAUAAAAUUUUAACAACAAUUUACCCGCAACGAAGUGAUAUAAUAAUUUCUUUAUGUUCAAAUUCAAUUUUCACACAGACAAUUACAUUGUACGCGAAUUACAAUACUCGCAUGAAAGUAGCUGAAAUUCGUGUCGUCAAAUAAAAGUCAUUUUACGCAAAUAAAUUACAAAAAUCUUGUCCGAUAAGAUAAGCGUGUACGAAUUUGAUUCCGCGCCAUCUAUCUCCGCGUGCGAAACACGAUUCACUCUCGCGUGGAAUUUCUUGGACAACGACAUGCAUUUUCGAUCGAGCUCGCGAGAAAGGAGGACAGUGCUUUUAUCUCAAGAUCGUGAUAAGAAAUUUGAAAUUUCUAGAGUACCAAUACACACCGAGGACUACUUUGAAAGCUACUCGAUACGCUUGGAAGCGAUAAUCCGUGGGUGGAAGAGUGGCUCGAAUCUAUAAGGGACAUAAGAAUAGGAUUCUAAUUCCAACUAUGAUCAACCAGUAGUGCAGAGACAACGUGAUACGGAAUCCGGGACAGCGCGUACGCAAGUCCCGACUACCAAAAAUUGUGCGCUCGACAUACCCACAUUAGGAGUAUUCGCAAGGUUCAGCCCAGCCUUGGUGCAAUGGAAGGGCCUUGCCCAGAAGGAACCGCCUUCGUGAUCACGGUGUCCUCCGCGCCAAGUAUGCCGAACGAACGUUGAAAGCGCCAUGGGUCGACUCGAUCGGCAACGUUCUCGCAACGAAGAGCCCGAUACAGUGAUACCGCGGUCGUCUGCAUUGCAGUUUGCCACGGCUACCAGUGUCGUGUGACACACUAACGGAGGAAGUACGGUGGCAUAAUAAAUGUCACGUGUACGGUGAACACGGGCCUGUGGGUCUGUCGCGCGAGCACAAAGUUGUCGUUGCAACGAAAUCUGCGGGAGAAGAUAAACCGGAACACAGAACUGCGUAACGCCGGUAUCUGAUAUCACCGGCGAGAGAACGGUCUCGUGGCUGCAGAAACAUUUUCCGCGUAAUUUUACUGUUCGAACCAGUGAACUCGACCACGAUUUGAUAUUAAGCCGCGCGAGUCGAUAAUGCCAUCGUGAGGAAAACGAGGAAGGGCUCCGGCAAACGGUGUAAUAAUAUCUCUGGGAUCGCCGACGAAUAGGUUGCCCGGAAGAAAGCGAUGGUCGCCCGGUAAUCACCGGUGGACUGCUAUCCAACGAAACCGGUUGGUCGCCGGCCAUUUUUUUUCCACAACGAAUGUCCUACACUCUCCCAGGAAUACAUCACCGAAGUGUCAGCCGCACGCUUCGCGCUUUCGCGUCGUUCCACCCUAGGACAAUAGACGAAUUGUUCCAAGGAUAACGAGCGUUUGCUUCGUUAUGGAGCACAAUUGACCCGGUUGCCACGUGGCGCACGCACGUACGUGCCUUCCAGUCUGUUGGAGGAAAUUUGACGCUCGUCCACAGCCGGAAAUCCAAUCGUCGCUCGUAAAAAUAUAACUGCAUAGACAAGGCUCGGAGGCACCGUUCGUUGGGAAUCGUUCGCGACUCGUUCGCGUUAAAAGUCACCGGUUUUCGGUGGCCGCGGAUAAUCCCGGUGAAUCCUCGGUCAUAAUUCGUAGCAUAUUUGGAGAUCGCGAAAACACCGAGCCGUAAUAAAUUCGUCACUAAAAUAAACCGAGAGCCGUGUGAAAGCCAGAGAACGAUGACAUUAAAUAAACGCGAGCGGAGGAAAUAAAUAAACUGCAGAUUAAAAGGGCGACGCGAUCGCAUCUCUGGAAAAUUGGAGCAGCGAAAAUACUGCUCGAUCGUGCUUCUAUUAUUCGAGAUCUCGACCUUUCCCGUUGAAGAGAAAACAUUUUUAGAAAAGAUUUCUUAACGCUACGCGCGAAACUUCCGCGAUGAGAAACUGCUUCGUGGAAAAUAACAUUCGAGCGAUUCGGACAAAGGUAUAAUAUUAUUCGAGGCAUCGCAACGUUCUUAUUUGCUGACGAAUAAGAGAAGCGAUCGAUUAGAAGUUCUUGUAGGCGGUCUACACGGCGGCCCAAUAAAUUUCGUGACGGCGCAGGAUCGGCUCUCGGGGGAAAAACGAGGCAAGACAACGUCAGCGAAAAUGGAUCGAGCACCGGCGUUUGAGAAAAUUUGAAUAGCACGCCGGAUCGGGGUGCCGCGUUGUACGUCUAAUCGAGUACUGCAUUGGCGUCCCGACGACCUGGCUCCACCAGGUACGUAACUAUUGCACAUGAUCGCCGGCUCGCGGGAGACCCGGUCACACGAACACGGGAACACGUUCAGAUUUCUUGGCUCCGUGUCGGCGCACGUACACAGGUGCAAACCUGUUGGUCGCUUUUACCUGCUCGAUCGAUGGACUACAAAACGAAAUAUCGGAUGCACGCGUGGGAAGCCUGACGUCACGAUCGAACAAUCUUUUUCGUUUCGGCGAAGCCAAGGUUAUCCUCGAAAGUCGGAAGAGACCGCGAGAGAGGAGGAACGUCUUGCCCGAAAUGGGAUUUGAAUCUUGAUCCGAGCGAACGUUAAGCCGGAGGAUCUAGAGCAGAUAUACAUAUACUAACCUUCCAGUCAUUAAUAGAUAAGCGGAUUCGACUGAGAAAUCGGUUCUGCCUUCCACCAACAAACGAACGCCGCGGUACGGAACUGUGCUUAAUCGCUUCGACGACAAAGAUUUGCUCGGAUAGAUAUCCUCCUCCACCCUGGCGAUUAUUUCGCAACGAGAUAAAGAUCGAGAAACUAAGUUUUUUUGGCGGAUCGAUCGCUGGAACGGAAGAAGAAAUUCAAGGCGUCGAAAACUUCCUCGCACCCGCGCCUAUCGGUAAUCGAUGCUUUAAAGACUUUUGGACAGCUGUAACUGGUAAAACACUAAUUAUAUAUACCGCGACGACGAGACCCUUCUACGGAAACCAUGUUUCAAAGGAUCUCCGCCCGACUUUGAAAUGUAUUUAAGCAUUUUUAACCCGCAAAAACGGUGCGACGGAAGCUGAGUCGCACGACAAAUCCGACCAGCGUCUGAACGAUUUGAUCGACGACUGGUCGCGUCGAGCAACGAUGCCCGAUUUGUACAUAAACGAGACACGUCGACCAUCGAAAUAGACCAGUUUCCGCUCGAACUGGUAACGAUCGUUCCGCAUAAUUAGCUCGCGUUGCUCUUGUUACCUUGUGCUCGGUCAGGGCAGCAAGAGCGAGUGUCAGAGCUAUGGUCGGAGGGUCGCGCGUUCGCGAAGAACGGCGAGGGUGGUGUUCUCUCACUAAUCGGCGAAAUCGGACGCGCAAUAAUCACGCGCGCACCGAUAUUGAUCUAUCGAAGAACUGGAUCGUUCGACCUCGAAGAUGCUCGUAAGAAGACGAACGCGCUGAUAACUGUCCGGGGAGGGCGCGUUCACACCGGAAUCGAUAAACGCGAGAGAAGUGGCCGCAGGAGGGGGGCAAUUCUGCGAUCACCGCGAUAUACGACGUUGAUCAAGCAAAGUAAAUGUGUUUUCCAGCGAUCUUUCGUUUUUAUCGAUCGGACAUCGCAAGCAGGUGUAAAAAGUUCUAAAGUAGAAAGCGCUGUGCUGCGUCAAGACUCACCUAUGGUCGAUCGGCGGCCGGCGCAGCUCCGUUCGGGGGAUGAUUACGAAACUCCCGGCGCCACGACUUCCGGUAUCAAUCGGUGACUUCCGACAUUCGGUCCGGACGAGUUUGGAUGUCACUUGUACGAUGCUCGAGGAUAGGGGAAGCGAAAUCGCGCGGAUCGCACCGAGAGAGACGGAGCAACGGCUAGCGUGCGGGAGGAGGAGAGAAAAGAGAAGCGGAGCGAGGAAAGAGGAGCGAGAAGAGAAGUACGAGGUGGUGCGAUAACAGAUAGCGUGCCGUGGCGAAAAUUCGCGUGGACAGUUGACGGUGUUCGGUUGUGGCGCGACUAGCCCGGCGAGACCACUGGACACGCGGUAGCUCUCUAUCACAGCGGCAUUUUCACUGAGGAAACACCGAGGCCAGAAAGCGAGAGGCCCGCGACCAAGCGGAAAACCCCCCAGCCGGAUCUCGUUUUCGUAAACGCUCGACUCCGACUAUCCGUGUAUCGGGAGCGACCCGUGGCUCGAGCGCAAGCGCGACGCUCCGCAACGCGCAAGCGUCACCGUUCGCUGACGACGCUCUGCUCUGCUCUGCUCCGCUCCGCUCCGCUUUGCUCUUAUCAGCGCACCGCUCCGCUGCCGCAAGAAACGAGGGAGAUCCGCUGUCACGGUGCCACCACACCGUCGCGACGCCUAGCGUCGCCUCUGAUCGCCUCUGGUCGCCGCUAUCUUUGCCCUUUAAACAGGGCCGCCAAGAACGCCUGCGCGACCGCCAGACUAUCAACACCCCAGGGGCGAGAACAACCCCCGAACCCCUGCUUGCUACUCCAAUUAUGCCUGCGAGGUGUUCCCUACCCUUGGGAUGCGAACUCUCUAACCAUUCUCUCGUCAUUUUCCUUCGACAAAAACCAGUAUCGUUAUCAACGCGACAAACGAGUACAAAAAUUCGGUGAAACGCGAGCAGGGUGGUUUAACCACCCUGCUAUAUGUAUAACGUCGAGUCAGACCCGCGAUGAACAUCUUAAGUGAAAAUUUCUAAAUAGAAAUGUUAUUAAUUGCUUUAGUGUUAUUGCUUGAAGCAAUCUGCGGAUAUAGUAUGGUAUGACCCUUUCUUCAGGGCAGCAAGAGCGAAUGUCAGAGCUCGCGAGGAGCAAAAGACCUUUGUAUCGAGGAUAUCGUGCCGUAGGCAUGCAUCCGCAUCUAUUUUUUCGUUUAACAUUAGAUUUACGGGACCGGUCAAUAUGGUGGAUUACAAAUUUGUUUUAAAUGUACGAUUAUUGAGAUUAUGAACAUACAUUUAUGAAGAAUAAAUUCAAUGAAUUUGUUUAUAUGGGCUUGUAUUGUUACAAAAAUUGCUAAUCUUUUUUGUUUUUAUCAAGUUUAAUGAAACGGUUGCUUGUAGUAUAGCUGUAAUUGCUUGUAGUAAGCAUCGAAGUAAGCGUGUGGACAUACGAUACAUAAAAAUUUCCUCUUUAUACUAGAAAGUUAUCAAGAACAAAGAACUGUUACUGUUAUUGUAGCUAUGAGAAUAAUCGUAGGGGUUGAUGAGACAAAAACUGAGAAGUUAAGAUUUAUUCACCCUCGAAGAUGAGCCUUCGUUCUACUCGGAGGUUGGAAGACCGGAUGUAGUUUCCUUGCCAACUACGAAUUUUGAAAAUGAUGACUAAAAUAGUAAAACGAAAAAAAAAUACGAAUAUGUACCGAGGAAACAACGUGUGCCUAGCCAUAAGCGAUUUUGUCGUACAACAUAAUUGCUGCCGUCUUAUAGAUAAGCUUUAUCACCGGCAUUCUUAUCAUUGUUGACAUUGCAGUAGUGCGACUGUACCGUUUGGAGCAAGUUCAAGUUACAAAACGAAGGGUGCUCUAAAAAGGGCAAUUGUUUGUUUUUUGUGAAAAUCUCUUUAUUAAAGUUAUUCAAACGUGGGCAGAGCUAAAUUUCUGCAGAGCUCUUGCAACGUUUCGGUAGAAAUCUGAUCAGGCGAUAUCACCGCUACUCGUCAGACGAUUCUUCGAAUCUCAGCUCUUGGAUCGAACACGUGAAAAUAAUUCGCGAUGGAUCCGUACGGCGAAAUAACGUUAUCUAUCCGCGAUUUAUGACGGAUCCGGAAUGGGAAUUUGAGGUGUUCGACCUUCCAACAUAUUGUGGAGAAGAAUACCAAUUUCCUGAGGACAGAGAUCGUACAGAGCAAACGCGUUAAAUUAAUAAACCGUGUUCGGGAUCGGGAGCUGUGUGCACCAAUAUGUAUAUCAGGCCAGAACGAUACCUCUUCUCUCUGAGCUCGCAAUCUGUCGAUAAUCGGUUCGUUAAAGUUGGGAUCGUUGCUCGGAUCUUCCAAGAUAACAUCGUUGCUUCUGGAGAUUUGCGGUACACGAGAGAUAUAAAUCUGUUUGAUGGCAUCUAACAUGGCCGAAGGUCUUGCCUGAGGAAAUUGCAAAUCGAUCGAUGAGAAUGAAUCGGCGCCGGCUGGUACCGCUAACGGCUUCUCGAAAUCCAUACACUUUCCACCGCUGAAGCAUUCCAGAAAUAUUUGAUUGCACGAACACGAGUUUUGAACGGCAAACAACGCAGAAACAACUCACGAAAGUUGAGUGCCAAAUCCGUAAUGAGCCAACAAAUCUUUGGUUUUCCGCAUCACAGUCUUAUCUUUCGACGAGUGAUAGUAAAGAUCUGCGCCCAAGGUAUGAGCCACGGCCCUUAGCGUCUUCCCGACCAAUUCCUUCUUAUUCGGAUCGAAAUCCUAUCACGAAAUGAACGGGACUUCUUAUUUGAUCAGUGGAGAAAUACUUUUAUCGGCAAUCGCAAUCAUCGAGUUACCUUGAAUUUAUCGUAUUUGCCUCCUACGAUGCAGAGUUUUAUCGGAAAAUGAUCAACUUCCUUUUCCAACGGUGUAUUUCGUUCGUUCGAUCGGCGACUCUUAAGUCCCUCGAUCAUCUUGUCGUCGUAACUCAUCUUCAUCGCGUUUCGAAUUACCGAUAGUGCUUCUUCGAGGAAAGACCAUAAGAUUUCCGGUUGCGACAAAUCCAGCAUCAUUAUUAUCGUAAGAUGAUGAGGCGAAUGAGUUAAAGACGAGCCUGUCAUGGCAGAGGAUACCAACGAAGAUGUUAAGUGACCCACUUCCCAAACGUGUACGAUAUUUUUUAUCUGUAUCGAUGGGAAAGAAAGAAAUCGUGUGACUUUUUAAAUCGCCGAACGUUCUAUUUCUACUAAGUAAUUUUGCAAUCGGUUGUUUUGUCACUUAAUUAAUCUCGAAGUAUUUAAACUGUAGCGAAACGGAAAGCUUACUAAGCUCUUUCCGGCUUUACGGCCGAAAGAAUAAUCGAUCGUUAUAGUUGGCUUCGGCGUUUCCUCUUUCUCAAGAAAUCGAUAUGUCAUCGUCGUUUUACCCUAAAAAUUCGUAUCUCUUUUUCAUCCAAGUUCCCAAAAAAUAUGAAACAAUUGUCGAAGAAGAUUAUUUCAUUUUCCAAAUGAUCCCGUUACAUACAACUUUUUUGGAACCGACAAUAAUAAUGGAACGUUCGUGUGUUUCGUCUGGAUCAUUUUUGCGACGUUGUUCUUCCUCUAGACAGAAUCGCACCGCCGCGUCUCUCAUAUUGGCAUCUCUAAAAAAAUAAUUGUAAUUGCAGAAAAGGCAAUUUAAUUUACUAGUGCAGAUAACGUUAAGAAGAAUGAACCACUUGCUACCACUUUGAGAGCAGGCUUUAUUAUCUGCCACAAAUGAACUGUUGAUGAAAGUGAACGUAAGAAGAUACAUACGAAUUUUUGUUCGCCAUGAUUUUGUUCAAAGUACAGAUUCUAGACUAACAUAAAAUACAAGGCACAAAAACUCUCCUUCCUUCAGGUUAGAAUAAUGUUUUUGUAUUCGUUGCUAUGGAAAUGUAUUCUCGCCUGAUCGUGUUCGUCCAAUAGAAUUGGUUUGCUCGGUAAAUAAAUAUAAUGUGUAAGAAAGUUGUAUAUAGCAUAAUCUUUAUAUUCAUUUUUAUAAUACAUUAUGCAGUAAUUAAAUGAGGUACGGUACAUCUAAGUUGUUAUCUAUACCUCUAUAUGGAACGCACGAUGAUUCAACAAGACGUCGUCAGUCUUGAUAAAACAGUUCGCAAUAAUUCAUAAUAAUAACGAAAACCGCAUCGUUUCAGACGACGAAAAUUAGCUAGAAGUGUUUAAAACGCAUCGAUACAUCUCUGCUGGGCCAUACGCACAAUUGUUUUUUUCUUAAUAAAUUAUUUAUGAAUAAAAAUA